rnacentral:lncRNA from 1 species
UGUAUGUCAGGCGAGAAGCCAAGGAAACCACAGUAAAUGAGAAGGACGUGGUUUCUCUCCUCAUGGGCCUCAGAGUCAGUGAGAGAGGUAGACACUGGAAAAGGAAUUAUAGAAUUAAAUUAUGAAAUGUGCUCCAAGGAAAUACAGAAUGCUAGAACAAGGGAGGCCCUGGCUCAGUUUGGGAGAUCAGGGAAGGCUUCCCGAGGAGGUGAUAUUCA